rnacentral:rRNA from 1 species
GACAGAGGUGCCAAGCGUUAGGCGGAAUCACUGGGCUUAAAGCGUGUGUAGGCGGACUUGUAAGUACCUUGUGAAAUCCCACGGCUCACCCGUGGAACUGCUGGGUAUACUGGCGAUCUUGAGCCACUUAGGGGCUACCGGAACAAAUGGUGGAGCGGUGAAAUGCGUAGAUAUCAUUUGGAACGCCAAUGGUGAAAACAGGUAGCUGGGAGUGUGCUGACGCUGAGACACGAAAGCCAGGGGAGCAAACGGG